GACGAACGCUGGCGGCGUGCCUAACACAUGCAAGUCGAACGCGAAAGUCCCGCAAGGGAUAAGUAGAGUGGCAAACGGGUGAGUAACACGUGGGUGACCUGCCUUCAAGUGGGGGAGUAACGUCCCGAAACGGGACGGCUAAUACCGCAUAACAUGCCGCCUUUUAACUAGGCGGACAUCAAAGACCGGGGAGUCGCAAGACCUGGCGCUAGAAGAGGGGCCCGGCGCCUGAUUAGCUAGUUGGUGGGGUAAGNGGCUCACCAAGGCGACGAUCAGUAGCCGGCCUGAGAGGGCGGACGGCCACACUGGGACUGAGACACGGCCCAGACUCCUACGGGAGGCAGCAGUGGGGAAUUGUUCGCAAUGGGCGCAAGCCUGACGACGCAACGCCGCGU
rnacentral:rRNA from 1 species